GACAGAGGGUGCAAACGUUGCUCGGAAUUACUGGGCGUAAAGCGCACGUAGGCGGCUUUUUAAGUCAGGGGUGAAAUCCCGGGGCUCAACCCCGGAACUGCCCUUGAAACUGGAGAGCUAGAAUCUUGGAGAGGCGAGUGGAAUUCCGAGUGUAGAGGUGAAAUUCGUAGAUAUUCGGAAGAACACCAGUGGCGAAGGCGACUCGCUGGACAAGUAUUGACGCUGAGGUGCGAAAGCGUGGGGAGCAAACAGG
rnacentral:rRNA from 1 species